rnacentral:misc_RNA from 1 species
GAAAUGCGAUAAGUAAUGUGAAUUGCAGAAUUCAGUGAAUCAUCGAAUCUUUGAACGCACAUUGCGCCCGUCAGCAUUCUGGCGGGCAUGCCUGUUCGAGCGUCAUUUCAACCCUCAGGACCACCCUUUCGCGGGGAGGGACCUGGCGUUGGGGAUCGGCCCGCCCCCGCGGCGGCGCCGUCCCCGAAAUCUAGUGGCGGUCUCGCUGCAGCCUCCCCUGCGUAGUAGUUACAACCUCGCAUCGGAGCGCGGCGCGGCCACGCCGUAAAACCCCCGACUUUCUGAACGUUGACCUCGGAUCAGGUAGGAAUACCCGCUGAACUUAAGC